rnacentral:rRNA from 1 species
GUGUCAGCAGCCGCGGUAAUACGAAGGACCCGAGCGUUAUCCGGAUUUAUUGGGUUUAAAGGGUGCGUAGGCGUCCUGGAAAGUUACGGUUGAAAUCUCCUUGCUCAACAAGGAAACUGGCCGUAAAACUAUCAGGAUUGAGUACAUUUGAAGCGGGCGGAAUGUGUCAUGUAGCGGUGAAAUGCUUAGAUAUGACACAGAACACCAAUUGCGAAGGCAGCUCGCUAAACUGUAACUGACGCUGAGGCACGAAAGCGUGGGGAUCAAACAGGAUUAGAUACCCUCGUAGUCC